CCUAACGGAGGCACCCAGUCUACAGGGGGCCGAAAAGCAUGGCGCGGCGGCGGUGUCGCCUCUCCUCCGAUCCCGACCUCGCGUGGCAACGCCUUCCGCCGCUUAUCAGCCCGCCCAGUGCGUUGCCACCUCUCCAUUGACCCCUGGUGGUGCGAGCAGGAUGAACAGAGAGUUGAAGCUAUCUAAGUAUACCCAAGGGAUGUGAAAUUUACAUCAAAUGGUUCGAGAGCUGGCACCUCCCCCACGCAUGCUCAUUGCAGCAUGGGAAGGCCAUGCGCGACGGCAUUGCUGCUGGGGAAAUCAGUGACGAGGGUGGCUGGGAAAAACAAAAUCAUGGUGUGGAACUGAAUUUAUUCUAGGUUAGGUCAAUGAGGGUUUAUAACUUGGUACAAAGUUUCGCGAGGACUCAGCUUCUUGGGAUGCAGAAAGGAAAGUUAAGUUGAUAUGUCUUAAUUAAUGAAAAACAUGUCAAGAGGAACACGUGUUCUUAUAUAGGUACUAUUUGGGAGAUGGUCAGGUACUGUAGGUUGUAUAGUUUAUAUAUUUGGGUGAUGGUUCUAUCAUGCGUAGUUAAAACUUGCCUAUUGACAAACCAUCACCUACUGCAAAUGACGCAUGGGUGUUGCAGAUCAUGCAUCAUGGGUAUUUGCUUCUAAUAUGACGAUUCAAUCAUUCUACUUUUGGUCCAA